rnacentral:rRNA from 1 species
GACGAACCGAGCGAACGUUGUUCGGAAUCACUGGGCUUAAAGGGCGCGUAGGCGGGCAAGCAAGUCCGGGGUGAAAUCUUUCGGCUCAACCGGAAAAGUGCCUUGGAUACUGCUUGUCUGGAGGGAGGUAGGGGCCCGUGGAACUUCCGGUGGAGCGGUGAAAUGCGUUGAUAUCGGAAGGAACGCCGGUGGCGAAAGCGACGGGCUGGAUCUCUACUGACGCUGAGGCGCGAAAGCUAGGGUAGCGAACGGG